rnacentral:lncRNA from 1 species
UACAUUGUUAUUAGUCUCUUUGUUAGAACUUCAAUAUCACUUGUGAUCUUUAUUACUCAAAAUCCUUUCUAACACUAACAUCAUAACAUUAGAAUAGCAAAGUAUCAAAGAGGAAAAAUUGAGGUUUAGAGACGAAUUUGGAAAACACAAACUGUGACUAUAAACUUUAAAAAGGACAAUUUAUAAAUAUAGACUCUCAUAGUAAUAUGAGUUUAAAUGAGACAUCAUAUUAAUAUAUGACUAUAAAUAUAGUUCUAAACUUCUAAUAUGAAUUACUAAAAAAUAAAAUAAAAUAGGC